rnacentral:rRNA from 1 species
CCCUUAGAUGUCCUGGGACGCACGCGUGCUACACUGAUGAAUUCAACGAGUUUCUCACCUUGGCCGAAAGGUCUGGGUAAUCUUUUGAAAUUUCAUCGUGAUGGGGAUAGAUCCUUGCAAUUUUUGAUCUUCAACGAGGAAUUCCUAGUAAGCGCAGGUCAUCAUCCUGCGUUGAUUACGUCCCUGCCCUUUGUACACACCGCCCGUCGCUCCUACCGAUUGAGUGGUCCGGUGAGGCUUUGGGAUCUGAGCGGAAAGAGCGUUUCGCUGUUUCUGCUCGGAAAACUCAGUCGAACCUUAUCAUUUAGAGGAAGGAGAAGUCGUAACA